ACUUCAGAACAGAAUGAUAUCGACAAGUUUCUUCAAUUUGCCAUCAUGAAGAUGGUUGCAGGUACAAUGUAUUAAAUUGAAAGGGUAGCGAAUGAUGGUUGUGAGAAAAAAACUUAUGAAGCUAUAGUUUGGGGGAAGCCAUAGAUGAACUAGACCAGCUACACCACCCAAUUUGAGGUACGGUUCUAAUUUCAUCUAACCUAUUGAUUUAAGAUUUCUCCCUAAAUACAGAUGAACCCCGAAUCCAUUAUUGUCGGUGUCACACCCCGACCGCGUAAAGCACCAACCGCGGCGGAAACGUCGGGGAGUGGAGCGACAGAAUUAUUGUUCCACAACCAAGAAAACCAUGCUUUAUGGAUACGAACAUUUAUGCAGUAAUGUUUACC